rnacentral:rRNA from 1 species
CGUAACAAGGUCUCCGUUGGUGAACCAGCGGAGGGAUCAUUAUAGAGUUUUCUAAACUCCCAACCCAUGUGAACUUACCUUUUGUUGCCUCGGCAGAAGUUAUAGGUCUUCUUAUAGCUGCUGCCGGUGGACCAUUAAACUCUUGUUAUUUUAUGUAAUCUGAGCGUCUUAUUUUAAUAAGUCAAAACUUUCAACAACGGAUCUCUUGGUUCUGGCAUCGAUGAAGAACGCAGCGAAAUGCGAUAAGUAAUGUGAAUUGCAGAAUUCAGUGAAUCAUCGAAUCUUUGAACGCACAUUGCGCCCAUUAGUAUUCUAGUGGGCAUGCCUGUUCGAGCGUCAUUUCAACCCUUAAGCCUAGCUUAGUGUUGGGAAUCUACUUCUCUUAGGAGUUGUAGUUCCUGAAAUACAACGGCGGAUUUGUAGUAUCCUCUGAGCGUAGUAAUUUUUUUCUCGCUUUUGUUAGGUGCUAUAACUCCCAGCCGCUAAACCCCCAAUUUUUUGUGGUUGACCUCGGAUCAGGUAGGAAUACCCGCUGAACUUAAGCAUAUC